rnacentral:misc_RNA from 1 species
GCAAACUUGGUCAUUUAGAGGAAGUAAAAGUCGUAACAAGGUUUCCGUAGGUGAACCUGCGGAAGGAUCAUUACAAAUCCAUCACGUCUCUCCCGAGACCACGUCGAAAUGUGUGUUGUAGCGAGAGAGAGAGAGACCGGGAGAGAAGGGAUAUUAUUAUGACUACUCUGUCAUCAUACAUAUACCCUUCCUCCUCCUCCCUUCUCUCCCUCUCCCGCUUCAUACGAACCAGUUGAUAUUGUUGUGCAAGUGUAUAUUGUUUCCUAAUCGGCAGUACAACUUAUAACAAUGGAUCUCUAGGCUCUUGCAUCGAUGAAGAACGCAGC